UCCCAAAUAUCCCCACUUAUAUCGUAAACCUCACCAAAAGAUUCAGAACCCAUAUAUUCGAAGACGAAAAUCUUUCCUUCAGCAGCAACAACCCGGGGCAAAACCCGAGGGAACAACAUAGAAGUAGUUUUUCUCCACCCACGUUCGAGGUCCUUCAAAUCUAAUUGGAAAACAUCGUUUACACCAUCAUUAUCAAAAAGAGUAGCAUCAUUUUGGCGUAUUCCCCCAAUAACGUAAACGUGGUCGCCACAGGCAACGGCAGUGGAACAAAAAGGAGCAUCAGGUGGCAUCGCCUUAAUAAAGACUUCAUUGCUUUCCAGAUCCAAAAAGUGCAAACCGACCGUAAUUUUACCAUCGGUACCCGGCCAUUUCUGGACGAGGGCCCUGAUCAGUUCAUCUGGCUCUCGCCCAUCAAAGUAACUGGAGGAAUCACUAGUAUCGCCGCUCAUGGUUCACCCUCAGCUUCGCCUUUCCAGAUCCAAAAUCGCUUUUAGUUUUAGGGUUUCUAGCUUCGGGUUAUUUCUUUUUUUUUUUGUUAUUUAAAUUUGGUUUGGGUUUAGUAGUCAAUGACAAAAAAAAAGAUAUAUACUUAAAUAAAUUUGUUGUCAAGUUAGCAAACGGUUGAUAUAUUUUGUUUUAAAUAGUAAUUUGCUUGUUUUAGUUGUUAAUUUCUUUGUAUUUUAAAAUUAUUUAUUAAUUAUGAUUAUUUUUAAUGAAUAUAAAAUAAUAUUAUUUCGUAUUAAAUAUUAGAAGUUUGUUAAAAUUUGAUUGGAUCAAUUAAAUCAAGAGCUGAUACGUAUAUUAAUUUGAAUGAGAUAAAAAAUUAGUUGAUAUAUUAAUAUGAACAAGUUGAAUCAGAUUAAAUGAUUAAACCAAGUUUUAUGAUUCUUUAUUAUUUACUUAAUAUGAUUGUUUAGAGUAUUAAAAAAGAUGUGGAAAUGUGAAGCUUAAAGUUUUAAGUUUUUUGUUUAUUCAGUAAAUAAUAAUGGUGAUUUUUUAAGCUGAUAGCUUUGUGUGUAUAUAUAUAUAUUGUUUUGCAUGUGCUUUGUGCGAUAAUUAUAUUUGUAGGUGUUGGCACAUUGAAGUUGAACUCCCGUCUUUGAUAGCAGUGAUAUUCCUUUCUCAAAAUUUUGACAGCAGCCGGUGCUUAUGAUAAUAGUGUUUAAAAAACUGAGUUCACUUGUCAUACCGAUUGUUCAGGCCUCAUUAGUGUUGCAUCAUGUCCAUCGGGAAAGCUAGUUCAAAUUGAGCAUGCCUUGUCGGCAAUCGAAUCAGGUCAAACAUCUCUUAGAAUCAAAGCUGCUAAUGGGGUAGUAAUUGCUACUGAGAAGAAAUUGCUUUCGAUCUUGGUUUAUCUGUUAAGAAAAUACAGUGUCUAACACCAAGUGUUGAAGUUGUUUACAGUGUUGGGCAGGUAAUAGCAUUUUGGAUCAAGUGUAACAUAAAAUCUUUCUAAGCUCGGACAGAGCUUCAGGAAGCAAAGUAAGGCAUUGAUUGGUUCUCUUUCCAUUGAACAAUCAAUCCACCAAAGCUCUUUUAAUUCGCUCAAAUAACAUUCAGGUCGCCUACUUGAGAAGGCCAAAAUGAUUUCUUUUGCAGAGACCAUAACGAUAACGAGAAGGGAAAGGGAGUCUCAGUCUCAAAGACAGUGAGUUAUCUAGAUUCAAAUGCCUAUGCACAACCAUUUGUCUGUGCAUUACUAUUUAAAUAAAAAUACAGAGUUGAAAGUGAAUGAGCUUUCUUUACAAGGAGGUAUUGUUAGAGAUGAUCAAGGAAUCGUCAAUCUUACAUUGUUAGUUGUUUGCCAAACUUUCGCUUGAUUUUAGAUACACUAUCAUGUUUCAAUCUCUGGGAUAGAGUUUUUUUUUACAGCAUCACUUCACUUCUUGUAUGUGCUAGAACUGGACCACAACAAUCUGACAGGAAAUUUGCCGCAAGGCAUUUACCGUGGUGGAUCACUUGAAUACUUCACAGCAGCUGACAGCCAGCUUACCGGGCAAUCCCUCAAGGGUUGAAAAAUUGCACUAGCUUGAAGAGAGUCUACCUUGAAAGAAACCGACUCAGAGGAAAUAUAUCUGAACAUUUAGGCGUUUACCCAAACCUAAGAUUCAUUGAAUUAAGUGACAUUGAACUUUAUGGUGAAGUGUCUUCCAAUUGGGGAUUGUGCAGAAGCUUACAGAGCCUAUCUAUUGCAAGGAAUAAUCUCAGUGGUACAAUACCAGCUGAGAUUGGAAACUCACGUCAGAUACACAGGCUUGAUCUUUGUUCAAAUCAUUUAGUUGGGGAGAUUCUAAAGAAAAUUUCAAAGUUGACAUCUUUGCUUUAUCUUUAUUUGAAUGGGAAUAAACUUUCUGGCAGUGUACCCCUGGAACUAGGACUUAUGCUCGCAAUAUAUUCGCCGUUUGUCCUCUUAGAAAUUUUCAUUUUUAGUUCUGGUAUCUUAGUUCUUGUUUUCGAACACUGAAUUCAUUGAAACACAAUCAAUUUUUGUUUCAAUUAUAGUUAGAACAGUGAGAUAUUCAUUUGUACACAUCUCCCACUUCGAGCCUCGUAUGAUAUUUUAUACUUGUUUAAGUUAGAGAAGAGUUGGUAUAAACUCUGAAAUGCUAUAGCUUGGGACCCAAAAGAGACAAAAGAGAAAAGCUUAUUGCCUGCGUGAAUGCCCAAAUAGAGAGGGAGAGUCUAUCAUACGUCAAGUAUAAAAAGUACCAACGACCAUUCACAAAGACUUAGAUGCAAGUCAACAAUGGUUUGAGAAAUGGGUGAGAGACUUAUGUUAUUGCAUUGUAUUCAUUUUUCCACAUCUUCUGUUUCAAGUCUCAAAUGACAAUUUUAACUCUGUAAUAGCAGAAAGGUUGGUCUGAAAUGCGAUUGCUUUGGACCCAAAAUAGAAAUGCGCUUUUAGCCUGUGUGAAUCCAAAGGGACAGUGUAUCAUACGUCAAGACUGAAAGGGGCAAAGGUCUCUUGACCUUGAAUGGGGCUAACAUAAAUUACUAUAAUACAAAGACUUCAACUUUGGAGUGAAAAAUGGGUGAGACUUUUAAUAGUUAGUUCCUAUAUAGAGGGAGAUAAAAGCUUAUCGCCUGUGUGAAUGUCCACAUCUCCAUUUUGUAGUCUUAUAUGACAGUUGUCUUCUUGACACUAAAUCGGCCAACAUAAAUUAUUAUAAUACAAAGACAUAAAACUAUGGAGUGAAAAAUGGGUGAAAGACUUAAUAGUUUUUUUAUUAGAGGGUUGAAAGACUUAAAAGUUAGUUUGAUCGUACAGGCUACUGCAAUUAACCUAUAUAUAACCUUCAUAUCAUAGCUGUUACUUGCAUGCAGAGCAUUUGUUACUCAUGAAGAGUUUAACCUUGCUUGCUCCCUUACUCUUGUGUGUUACUUUACUAUUUUCUUCUCUUAAUGUCGCUUCUGAUUCUGCAGCAGAAGCAUUGGCAAUCCUCAAAUGGAAAGCCAGCCUUCAAAGCCAAAACCAUUCUGUUUUGCUUUCCUGGAAUACUUCCAACGACCCAUAUACCAAAACAAGUCCUUGUGCUUGGUUUGGAAUCCAUUGCAAUCAUGCUGACAGUGUUACUAAGAUUAACCUCACUGGCUAUGGUGUAAAAGGUACGCUCCAUUCAUUUCCAUUCUCGUCUUUGCCUAAUCUUGCAGAGUUGGACCUUAGCAUCAAUGAACUUUAUGGCAUAAUCCCACAUAAUAUCAGUCAGCUCUCCAAACUAACCUACCUCGAUUUAUCCUAUAACCAGUUCUCUGGGCAAAUACCACCUGAAAUUAGCCACCUUCUACAUCUUCAGACCCUUCACCUUGCUGGAAAUCAGUUGAACGGCUCAAUUCCUCAAGAACUUGGUCAGCUCAAAUUUCUCACUGACCUUGCCUUGUGUAGCAACAAGCUAAAUGGUUGCAUUCCUGCUUCUCUUGGUAAACUAAGUCGACUUCUUUCCUUAAUUCUCUUUGAUAAUUCCCUUUCUGGUCCCAUUCCUCCAGAAUUGGGAAACCUUAGGAAUUUGGUUGAAGUUUACCUGGACACCAACCAUCUAACUGGUCCAAUCCCUUCCACGUUUGGAAACUUGAAAAAACUGACGGUGCUUCAGAUGUUUAACAAUAGUCUUUCAGGUCCCAUCCCCUCUGAGUUAGGGAAUAUGGAAUCUCUUUCUGAAAUAAGCCUUUAUCACAACAAUCUAUCUGGCUUGAUCCCAACCUCAUUUGGUGACUUGAGACAUCUUACAGUUGCCCAACUUUAUGAAAAUCAACUCUCUGGGCCAAUUCCUNNNNNNNNNNNNNNNNNNNNNNNNNNNNNNNNNNNNNNNNNNNNNNNNNNNNNNNNNNNNNNNNNNNNNNNNNNNNNNNNNNNNNNNNNNNNNNNNNNNNNNNNNNNNNNNNNNNNNNNNNNNNNNNNNNNNNNNNNNNNNNNNNNNNNNNNNNNNNNNNNNNNNNNNNNNNNNNNNNNNNNNNNNNNNNNNNNNNNNNNNNNNNNNNNNNNNNNNNNNNNNNNNNNNNNNNNNNNNNNNNNNNNNNNNNNNNNNNNNNNNNNNNNNNNNNNNNNNNNNNNNNNNNNNNNNNNNNNNNNNNNNNNNNNNNNNNNNNNNNNNNNNNNNNNNNNNNNNNNNNNNNNNNNNNNNNNNNNNNNNNNNNNNNNNNNNNNNNNNNNNNNNNNNNNNNNNNNNNNNNNNNNNNNNNNNNNNNNNNNNNNNNNNNNNNNNNNNNNNNNNNNNNNNNNNNNNNNNNNNNNNNNNNNNNNNNNNNNNNNNNNNNNNNNNNNNNNNNNNNNNNNNNNNNNNNNNNNNNNNNNNNNNNNNNNNNNNNNNNNNNNNNNNNNNNNNNNNNNNNNNNNNNNNNNNNNNNNNNNNNNNNNNNNNNNNNNNNNNNNNUUGCUUUAUCUUUUUUUGAAUGGGAAUCAACUUUCUGGUAGUGUACCCUUGGAACUAGGACUUAUGUCCAAGCUUUUGUAUCUAGAUUUGUCUGCAAACCAAUUGAGCAAGUCCAUCCCUGAAACUAUAGGGAAUCUGUCCAGGUCAUUCUACUUGAAUUUGAGCAUCAAUCGGUUUAGCCAAAGAAUUCCAAUUCAAGUAGGUAAGUUAACUAGGCUGGUUCAUCUAGAUUUGAGUCAUAACAUGCUUUCAGGGGAGAUUCCAGGGGAAUUUCAAAGUUUGCAGAGCUUGGAGACACUAAACCUUUCUCACAAUAAUCUCUCUGGUGAAAUACCAGCCUCUUUGGAGAAGCUCCGAGGCUUGUACACUGUUGACAUUUCAAGUAAUGAACUCCAGGGUCCCAUUCCCAACUGCCAAGCAUUUCUAAAUGCUUCAGUACAAGAAUUGGGACGGAACAAAGGAUUAUGUGGCAAUGCUAGAGGCUUACCGCCUUGCACACCUUUUUCUAAGAAGGGUCACAAAAACAACAAAACCUUUUUAGUAGUUAUGUUCUUUCUUUUAUCGGUUUCUUGUCUCUUGAUAUCAUCAAUGGCUUUGUUGUUUGCCUUCAAGAGGAAGAAAGAUACAGAUGAAGAAAGACAAAGCAAUGCAAGUGAUGGAAUAUUUUUCUCUGUAACUUCCUUUAAUGGAAGAAUAUUGUAUAAAGAGAUCAUUAGAGCCACCAAAGAUUUUGAUGCUCAAUAUUGCAUUGGGAAGGGAGGAUAUGGAAACGUAUACAAAGCAGAGCUGUCAUCAGGAGAUGUUGUAGCUGUGAAGAAAUUCCAUUCGUUGCAUACCGGUGAAAUGGCAGAUCAGAGACAGUUCCUAAAUGAGGUAAGGGCAUUAGUAGAAACAAGACACAGAAAUAUCGCGAAGUUCUACGGUUUUUGUUCCUCUGCAGGUCAUUCCUUUUUAGUAUACAAGUACCUUGAAAGGGGUAGCUUGGCUUCAGUUCUCAGUAAGAAUGAAGAAUCUAAGAAAUUGGACUGGAACAAGAGGGUGAAUAUUGUCAAAGGUGUUGUUAAUGCCCUCUCCUAUUUGCACCAUGACUGUUCACCGCCCAUUGUUCAUCGAGAUAUAACAAGCAACAACAUUUUGCUUGAUUUGGAGUAUGAAGCUCACCUUUCAGACUUUGGCACUGCUAAGCUUCUCAAUCCAGACUCAUCCAAUUGGAGUAAUAUUGCUGGAACAUACGGAUACAUUGCACCAGGUGAUUUUUCAUUUUACUUCCAUAGAUGACAUAGCAUAGAGGAUAAUAUUUGUUAUCAACUAUUAUUUCUUUUUCUUUGCAGAGCUUUCCUACACCAUGCAAGUUACUGAAAAAUGUGAUGUGUUUAGUUUUGGUGUGCUGGCAUUGGAGUUGAUAGUCGGGGCAUAUCCGGGUGAAUUUCUCUCUAAUCUAUCAAUUUUAACAGCAGAAAGCAUUCCACUAAACAAUGUGUUAGAUCAAAGUCUUUCGCCUCCACCACCAGAAGUUGUGAACAAACUCGUAUUCAUCCUGGAGCUGGCUGUUUCAUGUUUAAAUAUCAAUCCAAAAUCUAGGCCAACCAUGCACACUGUUUCUCAGCUGGUGUUCGACCACAUCUAGUCCCAUCUAGGACUCUCUGAUCUUCAUCUAAGAUACCACCUUAGAAACGUUUGGUAUUUGCUCUAAUGUUGUUUCUUUAGCUGUUGUGUAGUUAUAAUGGAGUUAAUGGAUUAGCAUUUUUGUACUCUUAAUUACCUUUUUCCUUGAGAAUUGCUACUAGCUUGUUGGUAGGGCAACAAGAGUUGUUUCCGAUAAUUGUCUGUAACAGUUUAUCAUAAAUUGUAUUCUAGUAUCAUCUUUUCAAAGGUUUGAUCCUCUAAUAUUGAUUGGGUCCUUCAAAGAGCUAAGCCUUUCGAAGCUUUCAACACCCUCCCUAUUGCUAUUAAUCCAAGGCCUAUUGUCUCAUAUUAGUCCUACAUCAAUUAAAGGAUUCGCUAAUCCAUGUAUUAAUGCUCUCAAAUUUUAAUGUCUUCCCCAUUCUUUUUCUCUAAAGGGCCAUACCUAUAUCAACUAUCACUUGUAUUUCAUGGAGUGAUUUUCUUUUAAUUGAAUCUACUUGACCAGCCUCCAUUAAUCCUACCUUGAAUUAACUUAAAUGUAGAACUCAAAGGAUGGAUGAGUAUGUUCUGUGAAAACCUACCUCGCUUUCUUCAAUUGUAAUACCCAACUCAAAAUAAAAUCUAAUUAUCUUUAAAAUAAAACUGCAAUAGGUGGAUUAAAAACAAAGAUACGAGAAAAAACAUAAGAGAACAAAAAUUGGGGAAAAUGGAGGAUGGAAAUUGAAGUUCUAGCCAUAAAUUCCCUGUUUUGAUUGUUUAAAGAAAUAUUUAUUAGACUGCCACAAUUUGAUGGAAUUAUUUGAAAGAAAAUUUCUUAGUGAGUUGACUUUGUAAAAUUAUUAGGUUUUAUUUUAUCACCUAUUAAGAGAUAUAAGUAUGAUUUUUAGUAGAUUAAUCAUAGCAUCCAACACAUCAAUACUUAAUAAACUAAUUUGCACAUUCAAGCCUAUAUAAUCAAUCAUAAAUAGUUAAUAAUCAAAAAAAUAAAAUUCAACCAUGUUAACAUUAUAAGCUAAACUAUUAAAAUAAUUGAACUUUUUUAAGUUACAAGCCCAUCAACCUAGUUACAUGCUAUACGACUCAAAACAUUUAUAUAUAUACAAAAUUGCAACGAAAUGAUUUGAGUUAAGCUGAUGAAAAUGAAUGCUUCAUCUCGAGUUUACUAAAGCUUCUGCCUGAGAUCUGCGCACAAAAACAAAUAUAACCAUACGCUAAAUAAUACAUACUCAAUGAUACUAAUAUGAUUUGAAUUCAAUUAUAAACGUAAUAACAUUGAAUAAACAAAUAAGUAAAAAGAUUAAAUAUAUUAUUCAUUACCCAUUUCAAUAACAACAUUAAUAUGCAUAUACCUAUAAACCACUAUUCCUUUAGAAGAUUCAUAAUCAUUUAUCAUUCCAACAUGUUCAUACUUGCUUACAAAUCACAUUAUCUUCAAGGUAUUUGCAUUUAUUUUUACCAUAUCAAUUUCAUAUAUCAUAUUUCCAUUAUUAUCAAAUUUUACUAUACAAAUGUUUAACAUAUAAUUUCACAUUUUAGCCUCUAUUAACAUAAUCGAACUCAAAAACGGAUAUUCGGAUAAAUCCACCAACACGCCAGUAUCUGCACCGAAGUGCUGACCAUACAUAAAUGCACCAAUCCUACCAAUCACACCAGAAUAUGCUCUUACUCUCAACAAAUUUGAGCUGGCGAUGACAAUUUGUUCUCGACCCUCAAGAAAUUAGAGAAUUAUAGCAAUAGACCCUAUGACAUGCCAACUAUACCCGUUACUCUAUCCAACAACGUUAAUAUGGCAAUUUCAUAAUUAAAGACAUAUCAUCAAGAAAGCAUAUACAUAUAUAUUCAAUUUACCAAAUGAUCGCAAAACACAUAGUUGGGUAUAUACGUACCUUUAAAAUACAAUCUCAUUGAUAGUUUACCAUUUUUGAAUAUUGUACGAGUUGAACAUUUAAUGAACUCAAAUUGUGAGAGUACAAAUUAGAUUAUCUAUUUGUCAAUGCCCUUGGCUUUCCCUUUGCCUUUCGAUGUCCCAGUGUUGUCUUUAGUUAUGUACGAAAAAAUUGAAUACUGGAAAUUAAUUAAUUAUACAAUUCAGACAUAAAAGCAUGAUGAUACAAGCCCUUAUAUUGGAAACACUCGUACCUCACAAUUCACCGAAUCAAAUUUAAAUAUAACUAACAAAUAUAGUACAAGAACUUCCUACAACCAUUUUUUAUUAUCAAACCUCAAGUUUUCAUCCCUUACAAUUAAGUCAUUAAUAACACAUAAUUUAUCAAUUUUCUAAGGUUGAUUCAAGCUUAAUUUAACACUUUUUACUAAAAUUUUAACAUAUUCUACCAUGAUCUUAAUUAAUAUCAACAUGCAUGAAAUUAAAUCUUUAACCUCAAAUAUUCUCAAGUUUUUCCAUCAACGGAAAACCAUAUCAAAGCUCACUAAUUCACUAGAUUAACUAAUGGGUUCUUAAUAAUUAUUCGCUAUUAACAAAAAUCCUAUUGAAAUUCAAAGCUUGAUGCAAGGUGCAGCAAUGGUGGCUUGAUGAAGAAUUCUUUCUUUUGUUUGUUUGUCUUAGCCGAUUAAGGAAGAAGAGAACUGAAUUUUCUCUUUCAUCCGACUACUUUCAUAUUUAUAUGCAUAAUUAGCAUAACGCUUGACAUAAUUAUUUCACUAAUCCAUGGGUUAAUCGACCCAUAAUAUUAGUUUGUGGAAAACGAUUGAUAUGGCUUUUACUUAAAUAUUAACAUGAAUUAACAAUGAUUUUAUUACUACUAAAGUCCUCGACAUAAUUAUACUCAAGCCCCUUAAAUAUAUAUUUUUAAUUCCCCAAUUAAAACCACUUUUCAGUUUAGUCCAUGUACUAUAAUUAUCAAUUGACCCAAGUUACUUCCGCUAAAUGAUUCACACCGAAAUGGACUAUACCAAUUUCCAGUGACUUGUUUUAAGAAAUUUAACCCUAAAAUUGAAUUUAUCGAUGUCGAUAAAAUUAAGAAUCGUUACAAUUUACUGUCAUAAUCUCCCUUUUUUGACAAAGAUGUCAAAGAGACUUCUUCUCACCAUAUGAUCUUCUUUAAAUCAAUCCAACAAAGUGCAUAAAUAUCCAAUAAAGUAAUAAGGUUUAAGAACAAAAUCAAACACAACCACAAUCAGCUUCAAGUAUGCAUAGUACUGAGAUAGAACCUACUUUGUCGAACUUCUUAUUUUAUUCAACAUUAUUAAUUUCUUAUUCAAAAUUUAGGUAAAUUUCAUUAUAAAUGUCACAACUGAAUUAAUCCAUAAAUGGAUUUAGAAAUAUUUUAAUUCGGGUCCCGUUAAUGUAUUGUAAUCUAUGCAAUCUCAUCUAUGUCUUUAUUUAUAAUAGUCAAGAGAAGUUAUGUCCCCAGUUAGAAUUAUAGAGGACAUAAUAAUCCUAACAUGAGUCAUUUCCUCUUUCUGAUGACUACGUAUCAUUUAAAUGAACUAAUAAUAUAAGUUUCUUUUGCAUUAUAAUCAAUUCCUGAAAUGCAAAUUAAUAAUAAUUAAAUCUUAGAUAAUCAGUGAUUAAAUAUUUGUUUCUUCAUUUUACUUUUCAUGCAAAAACUAUUGAGAAUAAAAUACAAAAAAUAUUAAAUAGUCAUGUGAAAAUUUUAUUAGUUCAAAAUAGUUAAAAAUAUUACAAAUAAAUUGCGGUGAAAUAAUUGGGCUAAGGGCACAAUUUCUAACAAAAAGUACAUUCUUAGGUUUGAAUAAAGCUCUCUUAUAUUUUCCUUUAACAUAUUAAAGGAUAGCUUAUGCAAUCCAACAACUAAGUUUUUCAUAACAAAUUCUGUUGGAAAAUUUGAUUAAGAAAAUGGUUAUUUUUGAUACAAUAAAAGUUCAUUUUUUUUCUAAAAUUGAGCCAUUUUGUUAUUUAUAAUAAUAAAUUUAUUGACCGAAAUAGUACAUGUGCUUUGUACGAGGCGAUUAAGUCGAUCUUGACUUUUAACCGAACUACCUUCUUCACUAUCCUUGAAUCAUGAAUUGCCACGAGUGUAGGCUUGAGCAACACAAAUCAAAUCUCUAAAUGAAAACUUUUAAUUAACUUUCAGUAGGUAAGUUAAUUCCUCUUUUUCACUAGUAACAAUAUAUUUUUCCUAGAAAAUAGAAUUUAUUCUUGUUAAAUAAUUUUUUACUAUUUUCUCGCAGAAUAACCAAAUUAUAUGAUGUGUGUAUAAAUUGUAUAACUAGUAGUUCUUAUUUAUAAAGAAAACGUAUAAAAUUUCUAUUUGAAUAAUAUCUAAUUAAAAAAUAAUAUUUUAAUAAAAAUAACUAUAGUAUAGGGGGUGGCGACAAUCUUAGUAAAACAAAAGGGUUUGCCGCCACUUACAUGGUAUAAGGCCAAGUUGGGUUUUUUUUUUUUGUAUUGGUUCUAAGUUUAUGUGUUUCUUACACUUUAAUCCAACAUUUAUAAUUUAUCGAACACAAAAUCUAAUUUCUAAAAUAUUAAUUAAUUAAUUUUUCAAUUAAAUUAUUUUCUAAACCUAAUUCUAAUUCCACAAAAGUCAUUUCAACUUUAUCAUAUCAAAAUUUAUGAGAAACUAUAUUUAAUUGCUCUAUUCAACAAAUCUAGGGUGACUAAUUAAUUUAAUUCAUACUUCAAACUCUAACAAUUUACUUGUAAUUAAAUAAAUAAUAAUUCGAAUAAAUCAAAUUAAUUCCUAUGUUAUUUUUGUACUUAGCAAGAAAAUGCAUUUAUUGCGGAUAGUGAUACAUGAGAUCUAUUUUUCUUAAUUCAUCAUUUUCAUUCAUUCCAUAUUAUUGGUUCUGCAUGCAAUUUGUUUCUGGUUAUCUCGAGCUAGAGAGGGACCGAUUGAACAUAUAUAAUUAGGCUCACAUAAUUUGUAAUUAAAUUCCAAUUUUUUGCCUAUUAACUAUAACAUUAUUCAAUGAAAAAGUCAUUCCACUAAAAUAUCAUGAUUAAGCUCUCCCGUAUUAUAUACCAUUAUGAAAGUCACUCAUGGAGUGCUUGUCCAAUGACCUUAUUGAGUUAAACUUAUAGAAUAUUCUCAAUCUCUUUGGGAUAAAUUAAUUCUCCCAAUAUGAUCAUAUUUUAUCUCACGGUAAGUAUUACAUCUUCUUUUAUGAAAAGUCAAUUGCUAACAAUUAGUAAUUAAAUCAUUUAUCACAAAUACAAAUGACUCAUGACCACACUACUUUUAAUCUAUCAUGUAAUGUCGAUGAGCAAAUAUCAUUUACCCUUUAAUUGGGCUAUAAAUUUUACCAUUGUGAAAUGAUGCUACAUACUGCAGAAGUUUUAUACCCAACGCACCAAGUUUCAAUUCCUUACUUGUUUUAUACCCAACGCACCAAGUUUUAUACCCAAUGUAAUUUAACCAUUUACGUUGAUUUCGGUUACUAUUUUUCCACCUCUCUAUCUUUUCUCCAAAAUAUGUUACAAUAUUUAUAGAAUAUUCUAGUACAACCAGCCAUUCAUCUUGAUAUCGUUUAAGAUGAUCACAACUUAAUAUCCAGUCAUUAUCCUUUACGUAAUCAAGAUUAAUGGCUAGUUGCAGUAAAAUAUUCUAAAAACAUUAUAAUAUAUUUUAAAGAAAAGAUGGAGAGGUGGGAAAGUAGUAACCGAAAUCAGCGUGAAGGUUUUAAUUACAUUAGUAAGGAUUUCGGUAAGAUCUUAAACGAUAUGGCUUGUAUAUGAGCUAAAAAUAAUAAGAGCAUUUACACGUAAGAUCCGAUAAAGUCUAUAUUCAUCACUAAUUUCGAUGGGGUAAAGUUUUUACCUAAUUUGAAUGCAUCUGACCAAACAAUGAAAUGUGAUAUUAAUGAGUUGAAAUAUUUGAUAAACUAUGUCGUCAAUAUUGCAUUCGAAUCUAUUAUCCAAAAUUAUGAGAAUUUCAAUAUGCCGAAUGAAUUAUUAUUGUUUCUUAACCAGCUCAAACUUCAAAACUUGUAAGUUAUCUUUAAUAUAUUUAUUUUAAAGUUUAAUAACUCAUAUGAUCUACUUCAUUAAUUUCAUAAUUUUUUUACUUGCCUAUGUAUAAAUGGAUAGGAAAUACAUGAGUUGCGUUUCUACUGGAUGCGCCAUUAUUUUGGAGACCUGUUGAUAAGUUCUAUUUUAUUAUAAAUCUGGAUCACAUAAUGAAGCGUGAAGAGAUUUGGUGGCAUAAUCUUAACAAAUGCUUAAAUAUGUUGCAAAAGAAAUAUUCAUAUAAUUGGGUGUUGGCAGUGAAACAUGAUUCGGUGCUUAAAUCUAUAUUCGAGAAUGCAAAAUCUAGUUGUCUAACCAAUUCCUAUCCCACUGUAGUACGGUACUGUUUACCGUCAUUACAACAACAAUAUAAUACCAAAACUAAUAUUUCAAUAUUUUUUUAUUAUGAUAUUAUAUUUACUUUUGUUAUUAUUUUUUACUUAAAUUGUUUAUUUUAUAGAUUAACAUUGAGAAUAAGUUGAGUAGGUAACAGCCAGAACUGUAUAUUCAUCUAUUUAAAGAUUUAAUUAAAUAUGCAAUAAGCAAUAAAAGUAGGUAAGGAAUAUAAUAAAAUUAUAUUAUCAUUGUAAAAUUAUUUUUUAAUUUAUAUUAAAUAAAUAUUAUUUUAAUGUCUUGAUGUAGGCAUUAUUUCUGAAAAUAUAUGAAAAGUAAGGAAGUUGGUUUUUGUAAAAUUAUUUUUUAAUUUAUAUUAAAUAAAUAUUAUUUUAAUGUCUUGAUGUAGGCAUUAUUUCUGAAAAUAUAUGAAAAGUAAGGAAGUUGGUUUUCUCUGUAAAUAUAUUUAGAAACUGUCACACCUCAAAUUUUCUUUUCUUUUUCCUACUUCUAGUCCAAAUUUUGGGAUGUGAUAGUUUCUAAAUACAUUAAAGAGAAAACUAACUUACUUACCUUUCAUAUAUUUUCAGAAAUAAUGUCUGUAUCAAAACAUUAAAAUAAUAAUAUUAAUUUAAUAUGAAUUAAAAAAAUAAUUUUACAAUGACAAUAUAAUUUUUCUAUAUUCCUUACCUAUUUUUAUUGCUUAUUGUAUUAUUAAUUAAACCUUUAAAUAGAUGAAAAUAUAGUUCUGGAAGUUGCCUACUCAACUUAAUCUUAAUGUUAAUAAUACUAAUCUAUAAAAUAAACAAUUUAAGUAAAAAUUAAUAACAAAAGUAAAUAGAAUAUCAUAAUAAAAAAUAUUGAAAUAUUACUUUUGGUGUUAUAUUAUCGUUGUAAUAACGGUAAACAUUAGAGCAAUACAGUACUACAAAGGCAUAGAAAUUGGUUGGGUAACUAGAUUCUGCAUUCUCGAAUAUAGAUUUAAGCACCGGAUCACGUUUCACCGCCAACACCCAAUCAUAUAAAUAUUUCUUUUGCAAAAUAUUUGAGCAUUUGUAAAGAUUACGCCACUAAAUCUCUUCACGCUUCAUAAUGUGAUCCAGAUUUAUAAUAAAAUAGAACUUAUCAACAGAUCUCCAAAAUAAAGACGCAUCCAGUAGAAACACGGGACUCAUGUAUUUCCUAUCCAUUUGGUGAUAGGCAAAUAAAAAAAUUUUGUGAAAUUAAUGAAGUAGAACAUAUAAGUUAUCGAACUUUAAAAUAAAUAUAUGAAAGAUAACUUACAAGUUUUGAAAUUUAAGCUGGUUAAGAAACAAUUAUAAUUCAUUCGGCAUAUUAAAAUUCUCAUAAUUUUGGAUGACAGAUUCGAAUGCAAUAUUGACGAUAUAGUUCAUCAAAUAUUUCAACUCAUUAAUAUCACAUUCUAUUGUUUGGUCAGAUGCAUUUAAAUUGGGUAAAAACUUUACCCCCACCGAAAUUAGUGAUGAAUAUAGACUUUAUCCGAUCUUGCGUGUAAAUGCUCUUAUUAUUUUUAACCCAUAUACAAGUCACAUUUUUUAAGAUCUUACCGAAAUCCUCUCUAAUGUAAUUAAACCAUUUACGCUGAUUUCGGUUAUUAUUUUCCCAACUCUUCAUCUUUUCUCUAAAAUAUGUUAUAAUAUUUUUAAAAUAUUCCAGUCAUCAUCUUGUACGGUAUCAAGAUAAACGGCUGAUUGCAUUAGAAUAUUUUAAAAUAGUGUAACAUAUUUUAGAAAAAGCAUGGAGAGGUGGGAAAGUAGUAACCGAAAUCAACGUAAAUGGUUCAAUUACACUAAAAAGGAUUUCAAUAAGAUCUUAAAAGAUUAGGCUUGUAUAUAGGCUAUAAAUAAUAAGAGCAUUUACACGCAAAAUCGAAUAAAAUUUAUACUCAUCACUAAUUUCGGUGGGGGUAAAGUUUUUACCCAUUUUGAAUACAUUUGACCAACAAAUAGAAGGUAAUAUUGAUGAGUUGAAAUAUUUGAUAAACUACAUCGUCAAUAUUGCAUUGGAAUUUCAAUAUGCCGGAUCAAUUAUAAUUAUUUCUUAAUCAGCUCAAAUUUUAAAACUUAUAAGUUAUCUUUCAUAUAUUUAUUUUAAUGUUCGAUAACUCAUAUAUUCUACUUCAUUAAUUUUAUAAAUUUUUUUAUUUGCCUAUGUCCAAAUGGAUAGGAAAUACAUGAGUCCCACGUUUCUACUGGAUGCGCAUUUAUUUUGGAGACCUAUUGAUAAGUUCAAUUUUAUUAUAAACCUGGAUCACAUGAUGAAGCGUGAAGAGAUUUGGUGGCGUAAUCUUGACAAAUGCCUAAAUAUUUUGCAAAAGAAAUAUUCAUAUGAUUGGGUGUUGGAGAUGAAACGUGAUCCAGUGCUUAAAUCUAUAUUCGAGAAUGCAGAAUCUAGUUACCCAACCAAUUCCUAUACCUCUGUAAUACGGUACUGCUCUAAUGUUUACCGUUGUUACAGCGACAAUAUAACACCAAAAGUAAUAUUUUUAAUAUUUUUUAUUAUGAUUUUCUAUUUAUUUUUGUUAUUAAUUUUUACUUAAAUUGUUUAUUUUAUAAAUUAGCAUCAUUAGCAUUAAGAAUAAGUUGAGUAAGCAACUGCCAGAAUCAUAUCUUCAUCUAUUUAAAGAUUUAAUUAAUAAUGCAAUAAGCAAUAAAAGUAGGUAAGGAAUAUAAAAAAAUUAUAUUAUCAUUGUAAAAUUAUUUUUUUAAUUCAUACUAAAUAAUUAUUAUUAUUUUAAUGCCUUAAUAUAGGCAUUUAAUUUUUUCUAAAUUAAUUAUUUCUAAAAAUAUAUGCAAUAAGUAAUAAAACUCAUUUUCUUUUUUUUUCUCUUAAUCACAUGAUUCUUUUAUUCUUUUCUUUUUCCUACUUCUAGUCCAUAUUUUGAGGUGUGACAGUUUCUAAAUAUAUUUAAAAAAAAAACCAACUUCCUUACUUUUCAUAUAUUUUCAGAAAUAAUUAAUUUCGAAAAAAUUGAAUGCUUAUAUCAAAAUAUUAAAAUAAUAAUAUUAAUUUAAUAUAAAUUAAAAAAAUAAUUUUACAAUGACAAUAAUUUUUCUAUAUUCGUUACCUGCUUUUAUUACUUAUUACCUAAUUAAUUAAACUUUCAAAUAAAUGAAGAUACAGUUCUAGCAGUUGUCACUCAACUUAUUCUCAAUGUUAAUAAUGUUAAUUUAUAAAAUAAAUAAUUUAUGUAAAAGUUAAUAACAAAAGUAAAUAGAAUAACAUAAUAAAAAAUAUUAUAAUCUUACUUUUUGUGUUAUAUUGUCAUUGUAAUGACUGUAAACAUUAGAGGAGUACCAUACUACAGAGGCAUAAGAAUUGGUUAGACAACUACAUCGCCAACACUCAAUCAUAUAAAUAUUUCUUUUGCAACAAAUUUAGGCAUUUGUCAAGAUUAUGCCACCAAAUCUCUUCACGCUUUAUUAUUUGAUUUAGAUUAUAAUAAAAUAGAACUUAUCAAUAGGUCUCCAAAAUAAAAGUACAUACAGUAGAAACACGAGACUUAUGUAUUCCCUAUCCAUUUAGACAUAUGCAAAUAUGUAAACAAAAAAAUUUAUGAAAUUAAUAAAGUAAAAUAUAUGAGUUACCGAACUUUAAAAUAAAUAUAUAAAAGAUAACUGAAAAGUUUUGAAAUUUGAGCUGGUUAAAAAAUAAUGAUAAUUAAUUCGGGAUAUUGAAAUUUUAAUAAUUUUGGAUAACAGAUUCGAAUGCAAUAUUAAAGAUGUAGUUAAUCAAAUAUUUCAACUCAUCAAUAACACCUUCCAUUUGUUGGUCAAAUGCAUUCAAAUUGGGUAAAAACUUUACUCCUAGCGAAAUUAGUGAUAAAUAUAGACUUUAUCGGAUCUUACGUGUAAAUGCUCUUAUUAUUUUUAACCCAUAUACAAGCCACAUAUUUUAAGAUCUUACUGAUAUCUUCACUAAUGUAAUUGAAUCAUUCACGUUGAUUUCGGUUACUAUUUUCCUACCUCUCCAUCUUUUCUCUAAAAUAUAUUAAAAUAUUUUUAGAAUAUACUAUUGCAACCAGCCAUUUAUCUUGAUACCGUACAGGAUGAUGACAACUUAAUAUCCAAUCAUCAUCCUUUACGGUAUCAAGAUUAAUGGCUGGUUGCAGUAGAAUAUUCUAAAAAUAUUAUAAUAUAUUUCAAAGAAAAGAUGGAGGUGGAAAAAUAGUAACCGAAAUCAGCGUGAACGUUUUAAUUACAUUAGCGAGGAUUUCGGUAAGAUCUCAAACGAUGUGGCUUGUAUAUGAGCUAAAAAAAUAAGAGCAUUUACACGCAAAAUCCGAUAAAGUUUAUAUCCAUCACUAAUUUCGCUGGGAUAAAAUUUUUACUAAAUUUGAAUGCAUCUGAAAAACCAAUUGAAAGUGAUAUUGAUGAACUACAUCGCUAAUAUGUCAUUCGAAUCUGUUAUCCAAAAUUAUAAAAAUUUCAAUAUGCAGAAUUAAUUAUUAUUGUUUCUUAACCAGCUCAAAUUUCAAAACUUAUAAGUUAUCUUUCAUAUAUUUAUUUUAAAGUUCGAUAACUUGUAUGUUUUACUUAAUUAAUUUCAUAAUUUUUUUUAUUUACUUAUUUGCCUAUGUCCAAAUGGAUAGAAAAUACAUGAGUCUUGCGUUUCUACUGAAUGCGCCUUUAUUUUGGAGACCUGUUAAUUAGUUCCAUUUUAUUAUAAAUAUUGAUCACAUGAUGAAGCAUAAAGAGAUUUGGUGACGUAAUCUUAACAAAUGCCUAAAUAUGUUGCAAAAAAAAUAUUUAUAUGAUUGGGUGUUGGCGAUAAAACGUGAUCCGGUGCUUAAAUCUAUAUUCGAGAAUGUAGAAUCCAAUUACCCAACCAAUUCCUACACCACUGUAGUACGAUCCUACACCAAAAACAAUAUUUCAAUAUUUUUUAAUUCUGAUAUUAUAUUUACUUUUCUUAUUAAUUUUUACUUAAAUUAUUUAUUUUAUAGAUUAACAUCAUUAACAUUAAGAAUAAGUUGAGUAGACAACUGCCAGAACCAUAUCUUCAACUAUUUAAAUAUUUAAUUAAUUAUGCAAUAAGCAAUAAAAGUAGGUAAAGAAUAUAAAAAAUUUAUAUUAUCAUUGUAAAAUUAUUUUUUUUAAUUCAUAUUAACUAAAUAUUGUUAUUUUAAUAUCUUGAUAUAGGCACUCAGUUUUUUCGAAAUCAAUUAUUUCUAAAAAUAUAUGCAAUAAGCAAUAAAACUCGUAUUUUCUUUUCUUUCUCUUAAUCACGUGAUUUUUUUAUUCUUUUCUUUUUCCUAUUUAUAGUCCAAAUUUUGAAGUGUGACAAUUUUUAAAUAUAUUUAAAGAGAAAACCGACUUCCUUACCUUUCAUAUAUUUCCAGAAAUAAUUAAUUUUAAAAAAACUGGAUGCCUAUAUCAAAAUAUUAAAAUAAUAAUAUUAAUUUAAUAUGAAUUAAAAAAUAAUUUUACAAUGACAAAAUAAUUUUCUAUAUUCGUUGCCUACUUUUAUUAUUUUUUGCCUAAUUAAUUAAACUUUUAAAUAGAUGAAGAUACAGUUCUGGCAGCUGCUUACUCAACUUAUUCUAAAUAUUAAUAACGCUAAUCUAUAAAAUAAACAAGUUAAGUAAAAGUUAAUAAAAAAAUAAAUAGAAUAACAUAGUAAAAAAAAUUGAAAUCUUACUUUUGGUAUUAUAUUGUUAUUGUAUUGACGGUAAACAUUAAAGCAGUACCGCACUACAAAUGCAUAAAAAUUGAUUGGACAACUAGAUUUUGCAUACUCAAAUAUAGAUUUAACCAUCGGAUCACAUUUCACCGCCAACACCCAAUAAUAUGAAUAUUUCUUUUGCAAUAUAUUUAGGCAUUUGUCAAUAUUACGCCACAAAAUCUUUUCACGCUACAUCAUGUGAUCCAGAUUUAUAAUAAAAUAUAACUUAUUAAUAGGUUUCCAAACUAAAAAUGCAUCCAAUAAAAAUGCGAGACUCGUAUAUUCCUUAUCCAUUUGGACAUAGGAAAAUAUGUAAACUAAAAAUUAAGAAAGUAAAACAUACGAGUUAUCGAACUUUAAAAUAAAUAAAUAAAAGAUAAAUUACAAGUUUUAAAAUUUGAGCUGACUAAAAAACAAUGAUAAUUCAUUCGGCAUAUUGAAAUUCUCAUAAUUUUGGAUAACAAAUUCAAAUGUAAUAUUAACGAUUUAGUUAAUCAAAUAUUUCAACUCAUCAAUAUCACCUUCCAUUGGUUGGUCAAAUGCAUUCAAAUUGGGUAAAAAUUUUACACCCCCACCGAAAUUAGUGAUGAAUACAGACUUUAUCGGAUAUUGCGUGUAAAUGGUCUUAUUACUUUUAGCCCAUAUGCGCCUUUAUUUUGGAGACCUGUUGAUAAGUUCCAUUUUAUUAUAUAUCUGGAGCACAUGAUGAAACGUGAAGAAAUUUGGUAGCGUAAUCUUGACAAAUGCUUAAAUAUAUUGUAAAAAAAAUAUUCAUGAUUGGGUGCUGGAGGUGAAACGUGAUCCAGUGCUUAAAUCCGAUAAAAUUUAUAUUCAUCACUAAUUUCAAUAGGGGUAAAGUUUUUACCCAAUUUGAAUGCAUCUGACCAACCAAUGGAAGGUAAUAUUGAUUAGUUGAAAUAUUUGAUAAACUAUAUCGUCAAUAUGUCAUUCGAAUCUGUUAUCUAAAAUUAUGAAAAUUUCAAUAUGCCGAAUGAAUUAUAGUUGUUUCUUAACCAACUCAAAUUUUAAAACUUGUAAGUUAUCUUAUACAUAUUUAUUUUAAAGUUCAAUAACUCAUAUGUUCUACUUAAUUAAUUUCAUAAUUUUUUUAUUUACUUAUUUGCCUAUGUCCAAAUGGAUAGGAAAUACAUAAGUCUCGCGUUUUUACUGAAUGCGCCUUUAUUUUGGAGUUCUGUUGAUAAGUUCCAUUUUAUUAUAAAUCUGGAUCACAAGAUAAAGCGUGAAGAGAUUUGAUAGCGUAAUCUUAACAAAUGUCUAAAUAUGUUACAAAAGAAAUAUUCAUGUGAUUGGGUGUUGACGGUGAAUGGUGCUUAAACCUAUAUUCGAGAAUGCAGAAUCUAGUUGCCCAACCAAUUCCUAUACCACUGUAGUACGGUACUGCUCUAAUAUUUACCGUUAUUACAACGACAAUAUAACACCAAAAAUAAUAUUUCAAUAUUUUUUAUUAUGAUAUAAUAUUUACUUUUGUUAUUAAAUUUUACUUAAAUUGUUUAUUUUAUAUAUUAGCAUCAUUAACAUUGAGAAUAAGCUCAGUAGACAACUGCCAGAACUGUAUCUUCAUCUAUUUAAAGAUUUAAUUAAUUAUGCAAUAAAUAAUAAAAUAGGUAAAAAAUAUAAAAAAUAUAUUAUAAUUGUAAAAUUAUUUUUUAAUUCAUAUUAAAUAAAUAUUGUUAUUUUAAUAUCUUAAUAUAGGCACUUAAUUUUUUCGAAAUCAAUUAUUUUUAAAAAUAUAUGCAAUAAGCAAUAAAACUCGUAUUUUCUUUUCUUUCUCUUAAUCACGUGAUUUUUUUUAUUCUUUUCUUUUUCCUACUUCUAGUCCAAAUUUUAAGGUGUGAAAGUUUCUAAAUAUAUUUAAAGAGAAAACCAACUUACUUACAUUUCAUAUACUUUUAGAAAUAAUUAAUUUCGAAAAAACUAAAUGCCUAUAUCAAAACAUUAAAAUAAUAAAAUUAAUUUAAUAUGAAUUAAAAAAAUAAUUUUACAAUGACAAUAUAUUUUUUUCUAUAUUCGUUACUUACUUUUAUUGCUUAUUGUCUAAUUAAUUAAAUUUUCAAAUAGAUGAAGAUACAAUUCUGGCAGUUGUCUACUAAACUUUUUCUAAAUAUUAAUAAUGCUAACCUAUAAAAUAAACAAUUUAAGUAAAAGUUAAUAAAAAUAAAUAAAUAGAAUAACAUAAUAAAAAAUAUUGAAAUCUUACUUUUGGUAUUAUAUUGUCAUUGUAAUGACGGUAAACAUUAGAGCAGUAUCGUUCUACAGAAGCAUAAGAAUUGGUUAGACAACUCGAUUCUGUAUGCUUGAAUAUAGAUUUAAGUAUUGGAUCACGUUUCACCGCCAACGCCCAAUAAUAUGAAUAUUUCAUUUACAAUAUAUUUAGGCAUUUAUUAAGAUUACGCCACAAUCUCUUUAAGCUUCAUCAUGUGAUCCAGAUUUAUAAUAAAAUAAAACUUAUCAACAAAUCUCUAAAAUAAAGGUGCAUCAGUAGAAACACGAGACUCGUGUAUUACCUAUCCAUUUGGACAUAAGAAAAUAUGGAAACAAAAAAUUAUAAAAUUAAUGAAGUAAAACAUAUAAGUUAUCGAACUUUAAAAUAAAUAUAUAAAAGAUAAUAAAAUUAUAAAAUUUUUACCUAAUUUGAAUAGGUCUGACCAACCAAUGGAAGGUGAUAUUGAUGAGUUAAAAUAUUUGAUGAACUAUAUUGUCAAUAUAUUAUUCGAAUCUGUUAUCUAAAAUUAUGAGAAUUUUAAUAUGCCGAUAACUCAUAUGUUUCAUAUAUUUCUCUUUAAAUCUUUCAUCAUAACAGGGGAAAGUGGGCUGCCCUGAGGUAUGCCUUUUUCGUUAUUAUUUAAAUCCCUCCCUUUUUUGUCUACGAUUGGAGUUUUUAGGAAAGCUAAUAUAAGAUCAAAGAAGGGUUGAUUUUCCUUUCCCAAGUAGGAUUGAAUUAUGUUGAUUAGUAGCUCAUGAUCGAUGUUGUCAAAACACCCAACGAUAUCAGACUUUAUUAGUCUAUCGACCUGCCCCCACCCCUGAACUUCCAAAAAAAAAGAAAUCGGACCCCGACCUUUUCUAAACCCGUGUGAAAAGGAGAAAAAAACGUCGUCAAAGAUGAUAUUCAGUAAAUGGGAGAGAGCAUCCAUCACAAUGAUAUCACCUUUGUUUUGUUGGGCUGCGACUUUCAGGAGUUGGUUGGUGGCAUGGACACCUAGCCUUUUCUUAUUUAUAGUAAUAGUCGCUAGGCGUUCUAGGCCGAAUCUGAUGUUAUGAAAAGGGCAAGCUCAAGCCUUAAGUUAAAGGGAAGCUUCUUACAUACUUAUUUAGCUAGGCUUCCUCUUAUACUGCUAAUAAGCUGACUACUUCGAGUGACUUUUUCUUCGGUAUUUAUAAAGAAUCAAACACUAAGGGUCAAUUCUUCAUUGCUUAAAAAAAAUACUUGACUCCAAAAACACUUUUGACAGAGAAGAAGAACAAGCUACUUUUGGUUAAAAUUUUUAGCUUUUUAAAAGUUCUUUUGAAAAGCACUUCUAAAAAGGAACUGAAAAGGAGAAGCUAAAAAUUUUAGCUUUUCCUACCCAAAAGCACUUUUGGUGCUUAAUUAAUUUUUCAACCCUCUAAUAACAUGGUAUUUUAAUUUUUUUUCUUGAUGCUUAAUUACAAUUAUGUUAAAAUCAUUAAUUAAAAAUAAAAAAAUAUUUUUUAAAAUACUAAUUAAAAAUAUUUAAUGGUUAUAUUUAAAUGUUUAAAAUAUAGUUUAUAUAUUCUAAUUAAAUUUUAUAAAUAAUUAAUAUUUAUUUCCUAAAAAUAUUUAAAAUUUAUAUUUCAUAUAUUAAAAUAUUAAUAAUAAGUUAUAAUAAUUUUUUUAUAUUCUUACUAAAAUAUAUUAAUAUUAACUAGUUUAAAUAUUAUUUAAAUGCAUAUUUGUUACUUGAUAAUAACAUGUCUAAAAUGGACAUUUUAUUUCUCAAAAAUACUUUUUGACAGCAAUGCUAAACACUCAAAUUUUAAAUCAAACUUUUCAAAAACACUUUUCAAAAGCAAUGAAGAACUGGCCCUAAUUCAUAUAGUUUGAGAUUGUUAAGAGAAAAAAAAUAAAAUACAUAUGCGGUUGACAUUUGGUUUAAUGGUAUCUCCAUGUACUAUAUCCUAUGACUACAAUAGCAUAGGAGAUCCUUAUGGAUAUUCAUACCAGUUCAAAGCAAGAUUGCUGCAAUCUCAUGCUAAUACUACUAAAGCAGAAUAUCUUGUAAACAAAAGAGGAAAGGAAAUUUUUGAGCAAAAAUCCAAAAAGAAAAUUUAAUUUACUAGCAACUUCAUGGAUAAGUAGGAUUGAUUAUAAAAUGGAUUGAAAAAAACAUACCUGAAACUGGCUGAGAUUGUCCAACGGCGGAACAGAGACAGUUGAAGGUUGCUGCGGAGAAGGAGACGACAGUAGUGAGUGGCACAACGUAACUUAGAAAUUUUUGGUGAAAAUAAAAACUCAUCAUUAAAAAUAUUUAAUCCCAAGCUAAAAAAAAUGCUUAGAUAAGAGUUUAGUAGAACAAUUUAUAACACUAGAACCCAUUUCUCAAGAUUAAGUUAUGAGAUAACAAUAUAGUCUUCCUCGUACCACUGCACUGUCACGAAUUCGCAAAUCACAAAAUCACAUAGUAUAUGAUUAGUGCCCAUGCAUACAGUUCACAAAAGAUUAAGUCCCACACCUGAAUUUGCUAAACUGAAUCAAUAUUGACAACACGAAACGCGUCACGAUUCAAACUUGCCUCGCUUUCUUCCCAAUCUAUACCUUGCAGACAAAAAGUAUACAUGAAGAAUUCAACCACCAAAGAAUUAAAGGAGGGCAAAAUUUGAUUAGAUCACCACAAACUCAUUGCCGGAUAGCAAAACGAUGCAACAAUGAGAUCCUUGAGUAGCCAAAACAUUCAACAAUGGAGGAACAAAAUCAACAAAAGGAAGAAAGAAAAUCAAGCAACGAGUUGUAAAUGAAUAGAAGGGGAGACACAAAAAUAACAAGGGUUUCAAGGCAGAGUAUCCCCACUAUAGAUAAUCUCAAUACAGUACACAUGUAUACAGUUCACAGAACACAAUUCUAGCAGUAAAGCACACACGGUUCACUAAACACUAAUUUAAAUGUUCACACAUAGACACAUACAGAGUUGCAAACAAAUUCGCAUAACAUAAUAGGUUUGCAGAGGUUACAAACAUAUCACAUAAGACGAGCUUUGCAAAGGCGUUCGUAAAGAAUUCGCAUUCAUAUUCAUAUAAGAAAAAAAGGUCCGCAAAGGAUUCACCAAUUACAAAAUCACAUAGCAUAUGGGCAGUGCCCAUGCAUACAGUUCACAAAAGAAUAAGUCCCACACCUGAAUUUGCUAAACUGAAGUACUAUUGAAACCACGAAAUGCGCCACGAUUCAAACUUGUCUCGCUUUCUUCCCGAUUUAUACCUUGCAAACAAAAAGUAUCAUGAAGAAUUCGACCACCAAAGAAUUAAAGGAGAGCAAAAUUUGAUUAGAUCACCACAAACAUACACUGCCAGAGAGCAAAACGAUGCAACAAUGAGAUCCUUGAAUAGCCAAAACAUUCAACAAUGGAGUAACAAAAUAGCACAAGAUAGAAAAUCAAGCAACGAGCUGUAAAUGAAAACAUUGAUCAUUUGCAAAUUGCAAGCCAUUCUAAAAGAGUGCACUCAUGUUUCUCCCUGCUCAGAACUUACUAUAGUAAAUGGGAUCUGUUAAUAAAAUAAUUCAUUCACCACAAGAUGCAACUAAUACCCAAAGAAUGUAUUUAAAACGAAACCAUGCAUCUUAACUUGUACUUAUAAGUUCAGAAACCAUGAAAACAUUUUAUAAACCAUGAAAACAUCAGAAUAAUACAUGCAAAGAAGUUUUUUCAACAGGGCUAAAGAUCUAGAGUUGAAUUCCACUUGUUCAAUCAAUACAAGCAAUGUUUAAACUUGAGAUGAUAAAGCAUACCUACACCAGAUGUUUCACUGUAGUCAACUUUGUCACUACUGUAGACAGGUUUGGAAUAUCAAGAAAAUUAAUCCAUACUCCCACAGAAAACCAGUAGAAAACAAAAUCCAUGAAAUUUUGAAUGAUAAUUUCGACUGCUAUUGACUAUUGUUCAUCUCAACAAUUUUUGGACAAUGAAAGUACUUUGAUAUGGAAAACAAAUACAGAAUUUUGCAUAUUAUAUAUAAUCAAAUAACAUUGAAUGGGUUGAAAUUUUCAACUGAGAAUAAUUAUUAACUUCCUUACCUGAAGUGUGAAGGCUUCUCGAGGAAUUGGCUCUAGAGUUGUUACUAGGUAUACAUCGCUGUUAAGUCAAAAUGGAACUAAAAGCAUCACAAAACCACUUAAGCAUCUCAACAAUAUUGAGAUUCAUCAAUUAAACAAAAAUUCCAAGAAACUAAACGUGGAAUAAUAAUAGUAAUAAUGAUAAAUUGAAAGUGAUGCAGGACCUAGGCGAAAUCUUAAUGUCUAGAUGGUCUUAUCAUUGCAUAAGAUUGAUGCAGCAUACCUCAGAAAAACAAUAAAUCAAAACACUCUUCUCUAAGAAAAAGGAAGUCAAUACAACUAUGAACUUGCAAUGAAAAAUAUAACACCAUUUUUCAGAGUAAAUUUAUGCCAAAUGCUAAUUGUUUAUUGAAAAUAUUGAAUCCUGAUGAACACAAAACAGACUUGAAUUUAGUAAGACGGCAUUAGCAUCAGAAAUUAAUGCACCGAUGGUUCUAGCAAAGCAACAAAACCGGAGAAAAUGUUGCCAAAAUCACCAAAAAAAGCAUCAUACUCAUCUGAUCAGCUGCACCAAUUACAUUCCAAGAAGAGAGUAAAUUACACCAAAACAAAAGAAGAUUUUAUCAACUAACCACUCUUCAAGAAAAACAAAUAUCAACUCAAAUGCAUCCUUUGGGAGGAUCACCCCUAGUUCUUCUUGAAGCUCCCUCCUGAACAAAUAAGAUAUUUAGCAAGCAUUGUGUUUUAACACUAGAUCAACCAAAAAGGGAUAAGUUUCUAACAAUAAUAUGUUCACCAAGUAAUAGACAAUGGAAAAAAUGGGCCAACGAGGUAAAAAGAAAAUCAAUGGAUGCUGAUCUCCAAAGAAUUUCUUGUGUUGAAAGUUACUGCAAAGGAAUGAACAAUAAGAUAUUUAAAUAAGGAAAGAAAAGAAAGAAAAGAAAAAAAAAAAAAAGACUCAGAUGUCUUCGCUCCUUCCGAACAAAAAGGUUUCUUGGCCAUCUAGAAACCACUAGGUUUACCAUCAGUUAGGAAACUAUCAAUUAGAUAUUUAAAAGAAAUGUAUUAACCAAAUCUAGCAAGUACAUAGAACAACAGAAAGUAGCAAUGAUAAACAAGAACAUGGGGAGAAUAUCUGUGCACGGCACACACAGAAAGAUUAAACACCGAACAGUUUUUCAAAUGGGGGAGGUUGCUUAUGCUCCUUGAAAUUGGAACUGGGAAUUGAAAACUUGCAAGCUAGAGCUAGGGAGGCAUACAUUUGAUAUAAAAUAUUUCAUUUUGAGUAUUAUUGUGUGUUAGAGGUUGCUUAUGAUUUCUGUACUGGCGUUUCUCUAUAACGGUAGUUUCUUGAUAUGUAACUCAUUGUGAUCUCUUUGCAGGGGAGAUGUCCAUCGAGAUGGGGAUUACCAUAAAGCAGUCCAUACCUUAGCAUUACUCAAGUUUUUUACAGGAAGUUCCAGGCUCACUAUCAACUUCUUAGCGACAACAAGAGCAAACAAAAUGCAAUGACAAGCAGUAUUGGCAAAUGAAAAAUCCGUCAAUUUACAAGGAUGGGAAUAAUUAAGAUGUGGUAGUGAUGUGAAGGGGGCACCAACCUUCAUUUAGAGCAAACCAAAUGUAAUGGCAAGCAGCAUUGUCAAAUGACAAAUUAUGAUGUAGUAGUGAUAUGAAGGGGGCUCUAACCUUCAUUCAGAACAACUUUAUAUCAGAAAUAUCUUUGGGAUAUGGAACACUGAUGGCAGAUUGAUGCUCUGCAGCUGCAUGAAUCCCUCCCUGCUCGUUGCACCAAAUAUUAAAUCUUAUGUACUCAAAACUCUUAUCGAGAUGGUUGAACCAAACGAAAAUACACUUGCCAUUGCCCAAACGAUACAGAGUGCCAUGUGGAUCCACUGAAAAUUCUGAUGACCAUUUGACGGGCAAAUGUUUCUUAUCAAGCAAAUUAUACGCCUCCAAAGAACGGAACUUAUCAGAAUAAUUAUAAAUGGCAGUAUACAGCACAUCGUCCACGAUUGUCGCUGCGUCAGACCAGUAACAAAAUUUUUGUUCGAGGCAAACCUAUGAUUUACGAUCGUAGUAAUAAGCGUAAAGGGUAUCGUUGGCAUUGCAGUGCACCAAAAUCCGAGAUCGGGAAGAAUCUAGAACAGGAACACAUAGAUCGAUAUCUUCCGGAGGGGGCGACAAUGGUUCCCAAAUAUCCCCACUUAUAUCGUAAACCUCGCCAAAAGAUUCAGAACCCAUAUAUUCGAAGACGAAAAUCUUUCCUUCAGCAGCAACAACCCGGGGCAAAAACCGAGGGAACAACAUAGAAGUAGUUUUUCUCCACCCACGUUCAAGGUCCUUCAAAUCUAAUUGGAAAACAUCGUUUACACCAUCAUAAUCAAAAAGAGUAGCAUCAUUUUGGCGUAUUCCCCCAAUAACGUAAACGUGGUCGCCACAGGCAACGGCAGUGGAACAAAAAGGAGCAUCAGGUGGCAUCGCCUUAAUAAAGACUUUAUUGCUUUCCAGAUCCAAAAAGUGCAAACCGACCGUCAUUUUACCAUCGGUACCCGGCCAAUUCUGGACGAGGGCCCUGAUCAGUUCAUCUGGCUCUCGCCCAUCAAAGUAACUGGAGGAAUCACUAGUAUCGCCCCUCAUGGUUCACCCUCAGCUUCGCCUUUCCAGAUCCAAAAUCACUUUUAGUUUUAGGGUUUCUAGCUUAGGGUUUUUUUUUUUUUUUUAAAUUUGGUUUGGGUUUAGUAGUCAAUGACAAAAAAAAAGAUUCAUAGUUAAAUAAAU
rnacentral:lncRNA from 1 species